GCACUACUGUGCAGCUUAUCAGGCUACUUCGAUCCCUUGCAUUCAGAUCCUACUUUUGCACAUGCUGCAGGGUUUUCUCACCCAAUACUGCCCGGCUUGUGCACGCUCGGGUUCGCCGUUCGGGCUGUCCUGAGGUCGUUCUGCAGCAUGGAGCCAGCGGCCGUGGAACGCAUCUCCUGCCGGUUCCUUCACCAGGUUUAACCGGGAGAGACUCUGGUCACCGAGAUGUGGCUUCAAGGGGACAGUCCAAGGGUGUACUACAGAACCAAGGUGAAGGAGCUCGGUCGCGCGGUGCUGUCUGGAUACGUGCAACUCAAGCACAUCCCAUCGUCACUGUAAGGUGAACGAACUGUGCUGAAUCAGGCGCCUCGCUCAGGAGUGGAAGGAAAAGGGCGCGAGACCUUCUUUCAGCUGAUGGUUCAGCACAAGUUGUCGUCGAGCGGUUUAUGGGGGCAAUCGCAGAUUUAGGAUUGCGAAUUUUGUAACAAAAUCCUGUGUAGGCAUGCAUGCAAUCCUCGUGCAGUCACGCUGUUAUCAGUCUGCUACCA